AUGAAGAUAGUGACGUACAACGUCAACGGCCUCAGGCCUCGGGUCUCGCAGUUCGGUUCUCUCCUCAAAUUACUCGACUCUCUCGAUGCCGAUAUCAUCUGUUUACAGGAGACCAAGAUAUCUAGACAGGACCUAACGGCGGAUUUGCUUGUGGCCGACGGCUAUGAGUGCUUCUUUUCCUGCACCCGCACCACCGAUAAAGGACGCAUCAGCUACUCCGGCGUUGCAACAUUUUGUCGCGUAAAGUCAGCAUUUUCAAGCAAUGAAGUGGCUUUACCCCUUGCAGCCGAGGAGGGCUUUACUGGGGUUCUUGAAAGUUCAAAAGGGUUGAGAAGGAGAGAAGAUGAAGGACCGGCAAAAGCAGGGGGCCUUGAGGAAUUCUCAAAGGAAGAGCUUCUUAAGAUUGAUAGUGAGGGGCGAUGUGUCAUAACAGACCAUGGCCAUUUUGGGAAUUUGACAGUGCUUUUUAACAUCUAUGGACCACGAGCAGUCUCUGAUGAUAGGGAGAGGAUUCAGUUUAAGCACACCUUUUUUAUGAUGUUACAGAAAAGAUGGAGUUUUCUUUUGCAUCAAGGACGAAGAAUAUUCAUAGUUGGUGAUCUUAAUAUUGCUCCUGCUGCUAUGGAUAGCUGUAAUCCGGGGCCAGACUUUGAUAAGAACCAUGCACUGCCUUGCAGGUUCAGGAGGUGGUUUAGAUCCUUACUUGUUGAAAAUGGUGGCGAUUUCUUUGAUGUUUUCAGAGCAAAGCAUCCUGAGAGGACGGAAGCAUUCACUCACUGGCCGCAGAACACGGGGGCUGAAGAAUUCAAUUAUGGGUCUAGGAUAGACCAUAUUCUCAGUGGUGGAGUAUGUUUACAUGAAGAUAGUGGACAGAAAGGCCAUAAUUUUGUGACUUGCCAUGUGAAAGAGUGUGACAUAAUGAGCCAAUUCAAACGAUGGAGGCCUGGGAAUUCACCUAGGUGGAAGGCCGGGAGAAGCAUCAAAUUGGAAGGUUCUGAUCAUGUCCCUGUUUAUACAAGUUUGAUGGAAAUCCCAGAUAUUGCGCAGCAUAGUACUCCCUCUUUAUCUGCUAGAUUUGUUCCCGAGGUUCGUGGCGUCCAGCAGACUAUUGUGUCAAUGAUGAUGAAAAGACAAGUAGAGAAGCAAGUUAAGACCGACGAAGUGUCAAGUUCAUUUUCAGAGGAAAAUAUGACAGUUGGGACUUGCAUUGAGAAUUUGGAAAGAUCAUCUUAUGACUUCAAUACAUCAGGCUCGCCCUCUGAAAGAAGUUGUGAUGCUUCUGGAGGUUCCUUUAGUGAGACUGCCCAUGCUAAAAUGUCUGCAUUUGAAACUGUCCGUGCUAACUCAACCCCUGGUAAAGAAAUCAGGAAAAAAGCAAGACACGGUCAAUCGUCACAACAACUCUCACUGAAGUCAUUUUUUAAGAAAAGUUUGACAUCUGCUUUUGGGCAUGACCACACUAGCACUGCGAUCAACAAUGAGCUGGGAGAUGUGGCAAAAUCUGACAAUACACCAGUUGAACCUACCAUGGAUGAGCAGGAGAGCUGUCGUCCUGAGCAGUCCCAGUUAAAUGAUUGUAUAUCCACUCAGGAUCAAGGUGAUCUAAAUGCCUGUUGUUCUUCUGAGGCGGACAAGAGUAAUGUUGCGUUAUCAGAGUGGCAAAGGAUUCGGCAACUGAUGCAGAACAGCAUGCCUUUUUGCAAGGGCCAUCAUGAACAUUGUGUUUCUCGGGUUGUGAAGAAAGAAGGCCCUAAUUUUGGCCGCAGAUUCUAUGUCUGUGCUCGUGCUGAGGGCCCAGCAUCAAAUCCUGAAUCAAAUUGCGGAUAUUUUAAGUGGGCUGCUUCCAAGCCCAGGGGCCAAAGAUGACGGCAAUUGCUGAUGAGAAGUUGGUUUUCUCAUUCAGGUUAAGGUUUUUCUCAUGAGAUGUCAGCCACCCCAUUUGCUGCCUUUUUGGACCCCAAACCUCCCCUAUUUGUUGCUGAAUGCAGUUCUUGUAAGUUAAAUCAAGAUUUUGAUGACAAGGCAGGCACAGAACCAGCAUUCUGUGCGCGCUCCAGCAUAGGAACAGGGAGAAAGUUGGGUGAAUUUCUUUGUAAUCUUCACGGUUACGUUUUUUUGUACAAUUGGUGUGAACUCACUAUAUUAUUGCUAGCCUCCUAAUCCAAUUUCAAUGUUGACCUGA